GUGCUCUUUUCACAAUGCUAAAACUGGAACUAUGCAGAGAAGAUUAGUACAAAGAUGACACGCAAAUGCAUGACAUGGUCCAUAUUUUU
rnacentral:snRNA from 1 species